GCCGGACAGUAUACACAGGGACAGCUGUUAAGGGUUGAGGGGACGACGGAAAAAUGAAGACAAUACUCUCAUCUGAGACUAUGGACAUCCCCGAUGGGGUUAAGAUCAAGAUUAACGCCAAGGUCAUAGAGGUGGAGGGUCCUCGAGGCAAGCUCACACGCAAUUUCAAGCAUUUGAACCUCGAUUUCCAUCUCAUCAAGGACGAGGCUACCGGAAAACGCAAACUCAAGAUCGAAGCCUGGUUCGGUUCCAGGAAAACAAGCGCUGCCAUCCGCACCGCCCUCAGCCACGUUGAGAAUCUCAUCACCGGUGUCACCAAGGGCUACCGCUACAAGAUGCGGUUUGUCUAUGCUCACUUUCCUAUCAACGCCUCCAUCACCAACUCUAAUACUGCCAUUGAGAUUCGUAACUUCCUUGGGGAGAAGAGGGUCAGGAAAGUGGAUAUGCUUGAAGGUGUAACUGUUGUUCGGUCUGACAAAGUUAAAGAUGAGCUUGUAUUGGAUGGCAAUGACAUUGAACUGGUGUCACGGUCAGCUGCCUUGAUAAACCAGGUUUCCUCCUCAUCGCUCUCAGUGUCACAAGCAUAAACACAAAUGCAUCUUGAUUGUUCAGUGUAUAACUGUUUAUAUAUGAAUGAUGCAUGCCCAUUCAUACAGGAUUUUUUUUUCAUGGUCUGAUUGCUAUACAUUUUUUGUUUGAACAGAAAUGCCAUGUUAAGAAUAAAGAUAUCAGGAAAUUUCUUGAUGGUAUCUAUGUCAGCGAGAAAGGGACUGUUGUUGAGGAAGAUUAGAUUUAGUAUUCUACGUCAUAUUUAUGAUCAUUUUCCCUGGCUAUGUUAUCUUUCUGUUCUGUGUUAUCAUUAACUUUGGAUAUCUAUGAUUUUGGCUUAGAUUACUUGGAAUUGAUGCACCUUGUGUUUCAUUCGGUGUGUCAUGAGAGUUUUAAAGAAAAUUGUUGGGCAUUUGAAAAUUUCUAUGCAUCUUAUUCCAUUGUUUUUCUUUUAUAUGUCGUUUCUUUGUUGGUUUUUUUUCCCCCAUGUGUCCUAUCAACUAGCAUCGCUUUGAUUGCUAUCUGCAUGCCUCUGUUGGAGCGAAUUAGUUGAUAUCCUAAUUUCACUUUGAUUUUCUUGUCAUUAUUAUUAGUAAUAUUUUAUUUUCCAAAUUCAAUGUCAUGUCAUGGCAGUUAAUUGAUUAGAAAUUAAUACUAUCAACAGUGUGUUUAAUUGAUAUAGGUUUAAAAAUUUAUUUCGGUAAUUAAAAAAAAUAAAAGUUCGGGUUAGUUUAAAAAUUAUGAUAAAGUUCAAAUUUUUGAAUAAUUAGUUGUAUAUAAUAUAAUAUAAUAAUUUAAAUACAAAGGGAGUAGAGAAGAAUUAUCCCUUUAUUUAUUUAUUUAUCUAUCUAUUUACUAAUUUAUUUAUGGAUACAGAGGAGCAAAAAUUUUUGCAUAAUAGUGUUAUAAACAAGUGAUAAAUGUAUUUCAAUUCCUUCAAAAGUUAAAGUCAAAUAUUCAUCCUAUAACAAUACAUACAAAGAGCAAAAUACCUAAUCCUUUGGGGCCAUUAAAGAUUUGAAGUAUACAAUAUAGAAAUUGCAAAUGUAGUGUUAAAAUAGUGAGGGCAUCUUGGAAGACUUGUGUGCUGGUUUCAUUUUGGCGUUGUUGAGUUGCGCCGUCGUCAAUGGGGUGGCGGUCAGUUCUUCAUGGAGGAAUUCUUGUUCACAGUGGUGGGUAUUUGGGUCUUUGAGUCAGCACCUGUGGUGGUUGCUGACCCUCUAUGCUAUACGAAAUUGAGAGGUUGCUAGUUAUGCCCACCACCAUCCCUUUGGUGGUCGUAUAUGAUGGCUAUGUUUGUUUGGCUUUUAAGGUUCAAAGCAUGCAGGCUCUCUAGUCGCUGUGAAAACUCCUGUUUCUCCUUUCUAGUUACCACGUCAGCUCUAGGAGUCAAUAGCGCCGGGUUGGUUCAGUCUGCUAUGACUACUGUACUAUAGGUUGGGCUUUCUUUAUAUUGGCCUGGUUUUAUGUGCCUAAUGCCUUUGUCCUUUGUUCUGGCUUUGUUGUAAUGUUACCCUCUAGGUCUUGCAAUGUAAAUGUUUGUAGUUCAAUCAUAGUGCCUUGUAGUGCAAGAGAUUGAAAUCUUAUAAUUUUUUCAGUUAAAACAUUUUCAAAAUACUAAAUAUAUAAUAAAGAAUAGGUUUAUUUGUUCGUAGAGUAUUGCACGGAUUCAUACCUUUGUUGAUAUUAAAAUACUGUUAGAAAGGCAAGCUUUGGAAGAAGGAAACUCAAUUUUUCGUGUCAAAUUGCAUUGCCAUUGUUAUAUAUACU
rnacentral:misc_RNA from 1 species